GCCAGCCCGCUCAGCAACUUAAGAAUUGACGGGGCCCGCACAAGCGGUGGAGUAUGUGGUUUAAUUCGAUGCAACGCGAAGAACCUUACCUGGUCUUGACAUCCCGGAGACCCUUAGGAAACUAGGGGGUGCUUCCAUCUGGAAGAAUCUGGAGACAGGUGCUGCAUGGCUGUCGUCAGCUCGUGUCGUGAGAUGUUGGGUUAAGUCCCGCAACGAGCGCAACCCUUGCCUUUAGUUGCCAGCAGUUCGGCUGGGCACUCUAAAGGGACUGCCGGUGUUAAACCGGAGGAAGGUGGGGAUGACGUCAAGUCCUCAUGGCCUUUAUGACCAGGGCUACACACGUACUACAAUGGCCGAUACAAAGGGCAGCGACACUGCGAGGUGAAGCCAAUCCCGUAAAAUCGGUCUCAGUCCGGAUUGGAGUCUGCAACUCGACUCCAUGAAGUUGGAAUCGCUAGUAAUCGUGGAUCAGCAUGCCACGGUGAAUACGUUCCCGGGCCUU
rnacentral:rRNA from 1 species